UACGAGGGGAGCUAGCGUUGUUCGGAAUUACUGGGCGUAAAGGGCGCGUAGGCGGUACUAUAAGUCAGAUGUGAAAGCCCUGGGCUUAACCUAGGAUGUGCAUUUGAUACUGUAGAACUAGAGAUCGAGAGAGGAAAGUGGAAUUAUGAGUGUAGAGGUGAAAUUCGUAGAUAUUCAUAAGAACACCAGUGGCGAAGGCGACUUUCUGGCUCGAUACUGACGCUAAGGCGCGAAAGCGUGGGGAGCAAACAGG
rnacentral:rRNA from 1 species